rnacentral:rRNA from 1 species
AAGGCGAAACGAAAGUGAAGGCCGUUCCCGAGAACGGCUCGGGCGGGAUCCGCGGAGGAGAGAUCCGCCGCGGCGCACCNCCGGCCNGUCUCGGCCGCNACGUCGGCGAGGCGGAGCANGAGCGNNCGCGUUGGGACCCGAAAGAUGGUGAACUAUGCCCGAGCAGGACGAAGCCAGAGGAAACUCUGGUGGAGGUCCGCAGCGAUUCUGACGUGCAAAUCGAUCGUCGAACUUGGGUAUAGGGGCGAAAGACUAAUCGAACCGUCUAGUAGCUGUUCCUUCCGA